CCUAAAGGGGCUGCAGGAAAGCUGGAGAGGGGCUUGGGACAAGGGAUGUAGGGACAGGCCAAGGGGAAUGGCUUGAACCUGCCCAAGAGAGGGGAGACUGAGCUGAGCUCUGAGGCAGAAGCUGUUCCCUGGGAGGGUGCUGAGGUGCUGGCACAGGGUGCCCAGAGAAGCUGUGGCUGCCCCAUCCCUGGCAGUGCUCAAGGCCAGGUUGGACACAGGGGCUUGGAGCAGCUGCUCCAUAGAAGGGCUCCAGCUGCCCGGAUUUACCUCAGCAUAUCGCUGCUGUCGCGAUAAAGCUGCGGGGCCGGGCUCAGCACCAAGGCCGGGCUCCACCUCGGCCCCUCCUCAAUCCGUGUCCCCUCACCCUUUGGGGCGAUAGGAGACAACAAACAUCCCCUCCGCUCCCCUCAGCCCCACCGGGACGUGCAUAUAAAGGGCUGCCGGUAGCAAUGGCCCCGGGCCGCUCACCUGGCCUCACAACGGCCAUCUUGCCCCACCGCCCCCCCCGGUCCUCCUCCGUCCCGGCAGGCUCCGCGCCGCUCUAACCCCGCCCCUCUCGCCUUCGGCUGCGAUCGGAGCGCUCGGCCCGGUUCGGUCGCGUUCGGGCGGACUCGGGCGCCGCCCGUUCGGGCGUCUCCGUUGGACGCGGAGCUCGGCUGCGCUCGGAGAGGACUCGGCUCUGCUCGGCUCCGCUCGCGGCCGCCUUCGGGCGAGAUCGGAAACCACCGGCACGGGCUCGGGAGUCUUCGCCCCUCUCGGGCCGGACCGCUCGGGGACUCGGCCCUGUUCGGGCUCGCUCGGGUUACCCCCCCCCCCCAACCGUAAGGUACCGCUUCGGGCCGCGCGCCUGCGGACUCGGCCGUGUCCUGCCUCGGGAUUGGCCAGGCGGCAGGAAACACGGGCCCGCUCGUCGGGAACCACCGGCAGCCUUCGGACGAGGCCUCGGGACACUUCGGGCACCGUCGGAACCGCUCGAGUCCGGCUGCCGAACGCGUUCGGAAGCGCUCGGCCGAGUUCGGUCCCCCCCGCUAAACAGCCCUCGAGUGACCUCGAACGACCAAUCCCCCCCCCCCCUCACCUCACGGCCCCCUCCCCACAGCAGCCCCCGGUGGUCGCGGCGGUUGUGGGGCCCGUCCCGGUUCUGCCCCCUCCGCCUGCCUCGCAUGGAGGAGGCCGAUUCGGCGGCGAAGCAGUUGGGUUUAGCGGAGGCGGCGGCGGUGGCGGCGGCAGCCGCAGUACGGGCGGCUGCGGACGGCCCCGAGCAGCAGCAGCAGCCUCCGCAAGCGGCGGCCGCGCAGUCGGAGGCGGCC
rnacentral:lncRNA from 14 species